rnacentral:rRNA from 1 species
AGCGAACGCUGGCGGCAGGCUUAACACAUGCAAGUCGAGCGCCCCGCAAGGGGAGCGGCAGACGGGUGAGUAACACGUGGGAACGUGCCCUUUGGUCCGGAACAACCCAGGGAAACUUGGGCUAAUACCGGAUACGUCCGUAAGGAGAAAGAUUUAUCGCCAAAGGAUCGGCCCGCGUCUGAUUAGCUAGUUGGUGGGGUAACGGCCCACCAAGGCUACGAUCAGUAGCUGGUCUGAGAGGAUGAUCAGCCACAUUGGGACUGAGACACGGCCCAAACUCCUACGGGAGGCAGCAGUGGGGAAUAUUGGACAAUGGGGGCAACCCUGAUCCAGCCAUGCCGCGUGAGUGAUGAAGGCCUUAGGGUUGUAAAGCUCUUUUAGCGGGGAAGAUAAUGACGGUACCCGCAGAAAAAGCCCCGGCUAACUUCGUGCCAGCCGCCGCCGUAA